AAGAGAUUCUUUCCAGAGACUGGAAGACCUCCUGUUGGCAUCUUCUGGGAGGAUUACUGCAAUGAAACACCUGGAGGAGCAUGUGCAGUGCCUUGAAGCUGAAAAUGCCAGACUGGAAGGCACAGUCCAGCAGCAAAGUAGGAGAAUUGAAGCCCUUCUGCAAGGCUCAUCCCUGGAGCAGGCAGCUUCCCAGGACAGACUGGAACAGAGCAGAGCCCAUGACCACGAUGCAG